rnacentral:rRNA from 1 species
CCUACGGGGGGCAGCAGUGGGGAAUAUUGGACAAUGGGGGGAACCCUGAUCCAGCGACGCCGCGUGAGUGAAGAAGUAUUUCGGUAUGUAAAGCUCUAUCAGCAGGGAAGAAAGAAAUGACGGUACCUGACUAAGAAGCCCCGGCUUACUACGUGCCAGCAGCCGCGGUAAUACGUAGGGGGCAAGCGUUAUCCGGAUUUACUGGGUGUAAAGGGAGCGUAGACGGUGAUGCAAGUCUGAAGUGAAAGGCGGGGGCCCAACCCCUGGACUGCUUUGGAAACUGUAUGGCUGGAGUGCAGGAGAGGUAAGUGGAAUUCCUAGUGUAGCGGUGAAAUGCGUAGAGAUUAGGAGGAACACCAGUGGCGAAGGCGGCUUACUGGACUGUAACUGACGUUGAGGCUCGAAAGCGUGGGGAGCAAACAGGAUUAGAUACCCUAGUAGUC